rnacentral:rRNA from 1 species
GAUGAACGCUGGCGGCGUGCCUAAUACAUGCAAGUCGAGCGAACGGACGAGAAGCUUGCUUUUCUGAUGUUAGCGGCGGACGGGUGAGUAACACGUGGAUAACCUACCUAUAAGACUGGGAUAACUUCGGGAAACCGGAGCUAAUACCGGAUAAUAUUUUGAACCGCAUGGUUCAUAAGUGAAAGACGGUCUUGCUGUCACUUAUAGAUGGAUCCGCGCUGCAUUAGCUAGUUGGUAAGGUAACGGCUUACCAAGGCAACGAUGCAUAGCCGACCUGAGAGCGUGUAGGGCCACACUGAGACGGAGAGACGAGCCAGAGUCCGACAGGAGGCACCAGUGGGGACGGUUGGGCAAGGGGCGGAAGCUUGAAGGAGCAACGCAGGGUGGGUGAUGAAGGGCUUCGGGUCGUAUAACGCUGUUAUUAGGGAAAACCAUAUGUAGAAGUAACGAUGCACGUCGUGACGGUACCGAAUCAGAAAGCACCGGCUAACUACGUG